rnacentral:rRNA from 1 species
AGUUAAAAUUAUAGCCAAACAAACCUAAACUACCAAAAAACAAAACAAACCAUUUAAUUUAAUAGUAUGGGCGAUAGAAAUUUAUUAUGAGCAAUAAAAAAAAGUACCGUAAGGGAAAGAUGAAAUAAAAAUGAAAUAAAUAAUAAAAACAAAAGAAAGAAAAGACUAAACCCUGUACCUUUUGCAUAAUGGUCUAGCAAGUCCAACCUAACAAAAAGAAAUAAAGUUAGCCACCCCGAAACUAGACGAGCUACUUAAGAGCAGCAUUAACCAGAGCCAACCCGUCUCUGUGGCAAAAGAGUGGGAUGACUUUUGAGUAGAGGUGAAAAGCCUAACGAGCCUAGUGAUAGCUGGUUACUUGAGAAAUGAAUAUUAGUUCAGCUUAAAGCAUCUUUAUUAUUAAAAAAAUAAAAAUAGCACUUUAAAGUUAAUUAAUAGGGGUACAGCCCUAUUAAUAAAGGAUACAACCUACAUAAUGAAUAAAGAUUAUAUCAACAAAAGAAAUUAACCGCGUAGGCCUAAAAGCAGCCACCACAAGAAAGCGUCAAAGCUCAACUUAACAACCCCCUUAUUAUACUAAUAAAAAAAUCUAAAUUCACAAAACAUAUCAAGCCCAUCUACUAGUAGAUAAGUUUAUACUAGAAUGAGUAACAAGAACAAAUUCUCUACAUGCAAGCGUAAAUCAGAACGAAAGUAUCACUGAUAAUUAACAACUUUAAAUACCCAACAACAAGAAAAACACAUUAAAACAAUUGUUAACCCAACACAGGAGCAUUAAAAAAGAUUUAAAGAUUAAAAAGGAACUCGGCAACCAUAGAGCUCCGCCUGUUUACCAAAAACAUCGCCUCUUGCCCUCCCAAUAUAAGAGGUCCCGCCUGCCCAGUGAUUAAUUUUAACGGCCGCGGUAUCAUGACCGUGCAAAGGUAGCGUAAUCACUUGUCUUUUAAAUAAAGACCUGUAUGAAAGGCAAAACGAAAGCUCAACUGUCUCUUUAAUCUAAUCAGU